GCCCAGAUAGCUCAGUCGGUAGAGCAUGGGACUCAAUCCUAGGGUCGUGGGUUUGAGCCCCACGUUGGGUG
rnacentral:tRNA from 1 species